UAAUGUUAAGAUAUAUAAUGCUAAAUUAUAUUAAAAUGAAAGUAUACAAAGAAACUAUUAUGGAAUUAAAGCUAUGAACUUAAAGAGAAGAAUUUACCAAUAUAGGUUAAACUCAAAGAGAAAUCGAGUAAAAAACGAAGUGAACUGAAAUAUCAAAGUAGCUUUAGGAAAAGAAAUCUCAGGAGAUUCUAUGGGUAGCGAGAGCGAGAGUAGAGAAGGCAGAAAGUAAAACGGAAUAAGAGAUUUUGUUUAAAAGAGGUGAACCAUCAUCGAAGCCUAAAUAUAAUUCAUAAGCGAUAGAGCAAGAGUACCGAGAGGGAAAUUAAGAUAAAUAGUAGUUUUAUAAGCAGUCCGCGG
rnacentral:rRNA from 1 species